CACGUAGGGCGCGAGCGUUGUCCGGAAUUAUUGGGCGUAAAGAGCUCGUAGGCGGCCUGUUGCGUCCGCUGUGAAAGCCCGGGGCUUAACCCCGGGUCGGCAGUGGAUACGGGCAGGCUAGAGGUAGGUAGGGGAGAAUGGAAUUCCCGGUGUAGCGGUGAAAUGCGCAGAUAUCGGGAGGAACACCAGUGGCGAAGGCGAGUCCCUGGACAACUCCUGACACUGAGGCACGAAAGCUAGGGGAGCAAACAGG
rnacentral:rRNA from 1 species